AGAGUUUGAUCCUGGCUCAGAUUGAACGCUGGCGGCAUGCCUUACACAUGCAAGUCGAACGGCAGCGCGGGAGCAAUCCUGGCGGCGAGUGGCGAACGGGUGAGUAAUACAUCGGAACGUGCCCAAUCGUGGGGGAUAACGCAGCGAAAGCUGUGCUAAUACCGCAUACGAUCUACGGAUGAAAGCAGGGGACCGCAAGGCCUUGCGCGAAUGGAGCGGCCGAUGGCAGAUUAGGUAGUUGGUGAGGUAAAGGCUCACCAAGCCUUCGAUCUGUAGCUGGUCUGAGAGGACGACCAGCCACACUGGGACUGAGACACGGCCCAGACUCCUACGGGAGGCAGCAGUGGGGAAUUUUGGACAAUGGGCGCAAGCCUGAUCCAGCCAUGCCGCGUGCAGGAUGAAGGCCUUCGGGUUGUAAACUGCUUUUGUACGGAACGAAACGGCUCUUUCUAAUAAAGAGGGCUAAUGACGGUACCGUAAGAAUAAGCACCGGCUAACUACGUGCCAGCAGCCGCGGUAAUACGUAGGGUGCAAGCGUUAAUCGGAAUUACUGGGCGUAAAGCGUGCGCAGGCGGUGAUGUAAGACAGUUGUGAAAUCCCCGGGCUCAACCUGGGAACUGCAUCUGUGACUGCAUCGCUGGAGUGCGGCAGAGGGGGAUGGAAUUCCGCGUGUANCAGUGAAAUGCGUAGA
rnacentral:rRNA from 1 species